rnacentral:piRNA from 1 species
UUACUUAUCAAGUGUUCCAGU